CGGUGAUAAUGCACAAGACUCAUUGUUUUAUUAUGCUUGAGAAAAUUAUAGCAUUUGCUACAUCAAACACUAACUAGCCCGUAGAAGCGUAUACGUAAAAGAUAACAGAACUCUAGAAUUUCAAUCAAACCCAACUGGGCCUUAGAUCGUCAAAAUGCCGGGAGGAGAUCUAUCGUUGAGCAGUGCUAUGAGAAACUAUCAAAAAUUUCGCAAUCAAAAAGAAAGGGGGGAAAUAAAAGAUCAAAACAUGCUGUGUCACGAGAAUUCAAAAUAGUAUGCCUUUUAGCUUUCAUGUUUUCUCUUUUCGUUUGCUUCGGUAUGUAACGCAAAGAAGAAUAAAGGAGCAUGCUCAGCAUUUUAUAACUCAAGUAGGAAGAAAAUAUCAAUUUUUUAUUUCUUUAAUGUACACUUACACGACUACAAAAAUUGAGUCAUGUACGUUAUUUAUAAUAAACCUUGGGCCUUUAAAUCGUUGUAAACCUUUUCAGACAUCACAUUACCUUCGUCAUCUUCCAUUUCAUUGAGAGACGCCAUUGUGGUUUCCCGCUUCUUUGAGUCCACCUUGUACUUUUGCCAAACUAAAAAUUUUCGUUAGUAACAUAAACUCACCAAAUACAAUCAUUUUUUUCUUACGUUGCAAAGCUUCAUCAAUAGAAGUAAUCUGAUUGAAUAAAGGUGAAGGUGAUAUUCCUAAACAUUUUAACCCGUAUAUGUGCCUUUGUUCAGUAAAGUGUUUAUCAAAUGCCUUUCUACCCAUAUACACGUAAUUUCCACAAAUUUCACAGGGAAACUCUUUACCAAGGCCAUGGAGUUUCCAAAGCCAGAAUGGAAUAGGUUUACCAUCCCAUCCCAAUGGCAGCUUCAAAGGGUUAUAUAUCUUUUCCUCAUCAUCCUGAUCACUUUCCUCAUCCUGAUUUCCCUCAACACUUACGCUUGGAGUCGAUUGUUCAAAGGCUUCUCUUUCCGCAGCCUCUACUUCUGCCAAACGUUCUGCAGCCGUCAAAGUUUGUCGACGAACAACAUUUUCACGAGUAUCCUUUCGAACAUCGUCAAGCAAAGACGUUAACUUUUUUAUUAAAAACUCGAUACGGGCAAUCGCUUUAGGUCCUUUUUGCUUCUCGUUCGUAUUACUUGUGGUAGAUGGACUAGAAGACUGCAUCCUCUUAACGGCCUUAUUAUGUGCUUUGCUCUUUUUGUGAGCUUCAAAUACAGUGAUCUUCCCAAAAAACUUUUGACAAACUUCACAAUAAAAUGCUUCCGUCGAGUCUUUCCCAUCUUUUUCGGCUUCAGCGUUGUGUGAAUACCAACCAGGAAGUCCAGCUUCCCAUGCUGCGUCGAAUUCAGUAUCAAAAACCGCAAUAAUCUUAUCCAAGUUUGACAGAGGGUGUGUCCGGCGAUAAAAGGACACCAAGUAUUCGUAUAAAUGAGUUAUAUAGUUGAU